GGUUAAGCGACUAAGCGUACACGGUGGAUGCCCUGGCAGUCAGAGGCGAUGAAGGACGUGCUAAUCUGCGAUAAGCGUCGGUAAGGUGAUAUGAACCGUUAUAACCGGCGAUUUCCGAAUGGGGAAACCCAGUGUGAUUCGUCACACUAUCAUUAACUGAAUCCAUAGGUUAAUGAGGCGAACCGGGGGAACUGAAACAUCUAAGUACCCCGAGGAAAAGAAAUCAACCGAGAUUCCCCCAGUAGCGGCGAGCGAACGGGGAGCAGCCCAGAGCCUGAAUCAGUGUGUGUGUUAGUGGAAGCGUCUGGAAAGGCGCGCGAUACAGGGUGACAGCCCCGUACACAAAAAUGCACAUGCUGUGAGCUCGAUGAGUAGGGCGGGACACGUGGUAUCCUGUCUGAAUAUGGGGGGACCAUCCUCCAAGGCUAAAUACUCCUGACUGACCGAUAGUGAACCAGUACCGUGAGGGAAAGGCGAAAAGAACCCCGGCGAGGGGAGUGAAAAAGAACCUGAAACCGUGUACGUACAAGCAGUGGGAGCACAGAGCAAUCUGUGUGACUGCGUACCUUUUGUAUAAUGGGUCAGCGACUUAUAUUCUGUAGCAAGGUUAACCGAAUAGGGGAGCCGAAGGGAAACCGAGUCUUAACUGGGCGUUAAGUUGCAGGGUAUAGACCCGAAACCCGGUGAUCUAGCCAUGGGCAGGUUGAAGGUUGGGUAACACUAACUGGAGGACCGAACCGACUAAUGUUGAAAAAUUAGCGGAUGACUUGUGGCUGGGGGUGAAAGGCCAAUCAAACCGGGAGAUAGCUGGUUCUCCCCGAAAGCUAUUUAGGUAGCGCCUCGUGAAUUCAUCUCCGGGGGUAGAGCACUGUUUCGGCAAGGGGGUCAUCCCGACUUACCAACCCGAUGCAAACUGCGAAUACCGGAGAAUGUUAUCACGGGAGACACACGGCGGGUGCUAACGUCCGUCGUGAAGAGGGAAACAACCCAGACCGCCAGCUAAGGUCCCAAAGUCAUGGUUAAGUGGGAAACGAUGUGGGAAGGCCCAGACAGCCAGGAUGUUGGCUUAGAAGCAGCCAUCAUUUAAAGAAAGCGUAAUAGCUCACUGGUCGAGUCGGCCUGCGCGGAAGAUGUAACGGGGCUAAACCAUGCACCGAAGCUGCGGCAGCGACACUAUGUGUUGUUGGGUAGGGGAGCGUUCUGUAAGCCUGUGAAGGUGU
rnacentral:rRNA from 1 species